rnacentral:rRNA from 1 species
UACGUAGGGUGCAAGCGUUGUCCGGAAUUAUUGGGCGUAAAGAGCUCGUAGGCGGUUUGUCGCGUCGGCUGUGAAAACCUGGGGCUCAACCCCGGGCCUGCAGCCGAUACGGGCAAGCUAGAAUUCGGUAGGGGAGACUGGAAUUCCUGGUGUAGCGGUGAAAUGCGCAGAUAUCAGGAGGAACACCGGUGGCGAAGGCGGGUCUCUGGGCCGGUACUGACGCUGAGACGCGAAAGCGUGGGGAGCGAACAGG